GGUUAAGUUAGAAAGGGCGCACGGUGGAUGCCUUGGCACUAGGAGCCGAAGAAGGACGGGACUAACACCGAUAUGCUUUGGGGAGCUGUACGUAAGCGUUGAUCCAGAGAUUUCCGAAUGGGGGAACCCACUAUCUUUAGUCGGAUAGUAUCCUUACGUGAAUACAUAGCGUAAGGAAGGCAGACCCAGGGAACUGAAACAUCUAAGUACCUGGAGGAAGAGAAAGAAAAAUCGAUUUCCUGAGUAGCGGCGAGCGAAACGGAAAGAGCCCAAACCAAGAAGCUUGCUUCUUGGGGUUGUAGGACACUCUAUACGGAGUUACAAAAGAAAGUUAUAAAUGAAGCGGUCUGGAAAGGCCCGCCAAAGACGGUAACAGCCCGGUAGUUGAAAU
rnacentral:rRNA from 1 species